AACAGUGCAUAACUAAUGAAAGAAAGACAUUAAAACCUGAUGUUCUUACAGGUGAGAUCUCCAGUUUAUCUUCAGCGUUUUCAUCAGUCUUGUCUCCUUGUUCUGUCACUUAAUUCUCUCUCAUCCUAGACUGGACACCUCCAUUUGAAAUUUUGUGUUCCCCCAAACAUUGUAGAAAAGGGCCCUGGGCACACCUGUCUGUAGGAACCGUGAUACGGAUGGCGGCUGGGUGGACAGCCUAGGCUGUCUCUUCCCUCCCUGACAUUUAAGCAUGGCUGCCCACCUUGAUGAGGAGUCUGGUGCUGUGCAGCUCAGGGUGAAGAUGCUCUGACUGGCUGUGGUAGCCAGCGUGAAGAUCCUCUCAUGCUUUUACACG